rnacentral:rRNA from 1 species
GAUGAACGCUGGCGGCGUGCCUAAUACAUGCGAGUCGAGCGAACGGACGAGAAGCUUGCUUCUCUGAUGUUAGCGGCGGACGGGUGAGUAACACGUGGAUAACCUACCUAUAAUACUGGGAUAACUUCGGGAAACCGGAGCUAAUACCGGAUGAUAUUUUGAACCGCAUGGUUCAAAAGUGAAAGACGGUCUUGCUGUCACUUAUAGAUGGAUCCGCGCUGCAUUAGCUAGUUGGUAAGGUAACGGCUUACCAAGGCAACGAUGCAUAGCCGACCUGAGAGGGUGAUCGGCCACACUGGAACUGAGACGCGGUCCAGACUCCUACGGGAGGCAGCAGUAGGGAAUCUUCCGCAAUGGGCGAAAGCCUGACGGAGCAACGCCGCGUGAGUGAUGAAGGUCUUCGGAUCGUAAAACUCUGUUAUUAGGGAAGAACAUAUGUGUAAGUAACUGUGCACAUCUUGACGGUACCUAAUCAGAAAGCCACGGCUAACUACGUG